AGCGAACGCUAGCGGCAGGCUUAACACAUGCAAGUCGAGCGCCAGGUUUCGGCCUGGAGCGGCGAACGGGUGAGUAACACGUAGGUCACGUACCCUAUGGUGGGGAAUACCCCGGGGAAACUCGGAUCAAUGCCCCAUAUGUCCGAAAGGAUGAAAGCGCUUCGGCGCGCCAGAGGAUCGGCCUGCGGCCCAUUAUUUAAUCCUAGUUGGUGAGGUAACGGCUCACCAAGGGUACGAUGGGUAGCUGGUCUGAGAGGACGAUCAGCCACACUGGAACUGAGACACGGUCCAGACUCCUACGGGAGGCAGCAGUGGGGAAUAUUGGACAAUGGGCGAAAGCCUGGUCCAGCCAUGCCGCGUGAGUGAUGAAGGCCUUCGGGUUGUAAAGCUCUGUCGUGGGGGAAGAAGUUCUGACGGUACCCCACAAGAAAGCACCGGCUAACUCCGUGCCAGCCGCCGCCGUAA
rnacentral:rRNA from 1 species